rnacentral:rRNA from 1 species
GAUAAACGCUGGCGGCAUGCCUAAUACAUGCAAGUCGAACGAGAUUUAGCUGAAGAGCAAUCAGAAGCUAAUGAAAGUGGCGGACGGGUGAGUAACGCGUGAACAAUCUACCUUGUGCAGGGGAAUAGCCCUGAGAAAUUAGGAAUAAAACCGCAUAAGACCACAGUAUCGCAUGAUACAGGGGUAAAAUCUACGGAGGCACAAGAAGAGUUCGCGUCUGAUUAGCUAGUUGGUGAGGUAACGGCCCACCAAGGCGACGAUCAGUAGCCGGCCUGAGAGGGUGUACGGCCACAUUGGAACUGAGAAACGGUCCAAACUCCUACGGGAGGCAGCAGUAGGGAAUAUUGCACAAUGGGGAACCCUGAUGCAGCAAUGCCGCGUGAAGGAAGAAGGGUUUCGGCUCGUAAACUUCUAUCGAUGGGGAAGGAAGAAAUGACGGUACCCAAGUAAGAAGCCCCGGCUAACUAUGUGCCAGCCGCCGCCGUAA